rnacentral:lncRNA from 1 species
GUGGCUUUGUUCUCCUGCAUGCUGAAUAUUAAUAGUAAUUAUCUAUUGUCCUCAUCCUUACCUACCAACACAUUAUCAGCUUCCCGUGGGCAUUGAUUCUGUACUAUGGAGUCUAACCUUCUAACCACAGUGGUACUGAGUAACCAGGGAAUUAUCCCCCUAGGAGAACAGGAGCUCUUUUCACCUCUGAGUCAAUAAUCAUUAGAAGCAACCAAUAUAUUGUCAAGCUUAACAAAUCACAAUUGGGAUAGAGACCAUUGCAAUGAGGAAGUUGCAAUUAUCCAGCAAUUAUGUAUAGAUAUAUCUAUUCUUCUAAUGAUUGAGUCACACAAAAUGUGCCUACACUUCUGCUAAACUUAAUCUGGAAGGUUUCUAAAACUUGUUUUCUUUUUUUUGUUUGUUUUAAUGUAGAUUUCAGAAUCCUAAGAAGCAAUUGCAUCUGAAUGAAAUAGUAAUGACAAAAUUUAUGAAGCGGAAAGAAGAGUAAUUCAUUCACCUGACAUGAGCUUAAUUUCUUAAAGGAGGGAAGGGAAAUUUCCAAGUUCUCUCCCCUAAUAGAAGAUGGCCUGAACUGCCAUGAAAUUUUUAGCCAUCAGAAGAGUGCCCACUUUAGCAAAUAAUGAACAUGAAUACCUAACAUUUUAGGAAUGCUUUUAGCUACAGGUAAUGAACAGAAAGCCUGACUAGAGUGGCUUUAAAAAAUUAAGGAGCAUUUUUCUCCCAUAAUGAGAAGUCCAGAGUUAGCAGUGCAUGGCUUAUUCAGCAGAUCAGUGAUGCCAAAGAGUCUGAGAUCUCCUUGACCUUGUUCUCACAAUUACAACAAAUCUGUUGCAGCUUCCACAAUUAUAUCCCCUUUCCAACAAGAUGACAGAGAAUGAAGCCGAUAGAAAAGGAAUUGCCAAUAUCUGAAAGUAAAAGUUUUAUGAGAAAGCUCCCAGAAAAUUUCUGUUUAUAUCUCUUUGGCCAUAGUUUUGUUCCAGAGUCACUCCUGGCAGAGAGAUGGCCAGAGAGAGGAAAGGCAAAGAAAAAAGCAAAGGCAGCUCAUGGCAUCCAGACAUUGGCCAGAUACUCAUACCCAGGCACUGAUGUUCAGAAGAUACUCAUACCCAGGCACUGAUGUUCAGAAGAUACUCAUACCCAGGCACUGAUGUUCAGAAGAGUGUUUUACUUUUGAUCUGAAAUGUCCCCCCAAAACCCAUGUGCUAAAGGCUUGGUCACCAGCCCAGGGUGCCUAUCAGGGCAGGAGAAACUUUGGGAAGUUGGGCUAAUUGGAAGCAAGUUAGAUCACUGGUGAAUGCCCUUGGAGGGGAUUUUGGCCCCUUUCUGUUUUUGCUUCCUGGCCUCCAUGAGGUGAGCAGCUCUUCCACCAGGUGCUCACACAGGCUCGAAGCAACAGAGCAAAGAAAACAGACUGGAACCUCUGAAACCAUGAGCCAAACAAACCUUUCCUCCUUUAAGUUGAUUUUCUCAGGUAUUUUGUCACAAAGACAGAAAAUUGACUAACACAAAGAGUUAACCCAGCUUUCACAAAUAGUCCUUGGCGAUCUCCGGUUCAACGGAAACAGGUUUCCAUUUUUUAGAGCUGAGUAAUAUUCCAUCGUGUAUAAAUGCCACAUUUUUUUUUAUCCAUUCAUCUGUUGAAGGGCAUCUGAGUUGGUUUCACAGUCUAGCUAUUGUGCUACUCCAAUCAUACUUCUGAAGUGGAUUAAACCUCACUGUCACAAUAAUAAUAAGUCAUAAAGGUACAGAUCUCAGGGUUGAGAAGGCUGAGGAGUGCAUUUGCUGUUUCUGAAUCCCUCAACUAAAUUGCAUAAUUUGACACACUAUCUAGAUAGCCACUAAAUAAAGCAAAGUUGUACAUUAUAGUCAUUCUUAGACUGCCUAAGAACUAAGCUUUUUAAAAAAUUCAUGGUUUCCCAUUUAUGAAGUAAGUAUGUAAGAUACAUAAAGAUAAAAACCAAAAAUAUUCAUUAUCUCUAGAGUAAAAGUUUUGUAAAAGUGAUCCUUCUUUGUUUUCAGUUUGAAUACCAGAGAUAAUCAAUUGAAAUAAAAAUAUGGAUAGUUAAAUUCAUUUGAAUAAGUGAUGAUAUUAUGUACAAAUUACAAUGUUCAGAGAACUUGGCUAUAUUUCCUUUUUUAAUAAACUAAAAGGUGGUUUUAAAAGCCAGCAAAUAUAAAAACAGAAUCUAAAUUCUAACUUGAGAAAGUAGAAGAAACACCUAUCUUCAUUGAAUGAAUACAGAGGUAUUUUGAAGAGCUCUGUAAGCAAACCACACAGACAUUUUAAAAGAAACCACAGGGAAAAGCAACUUGUUUCCUAAUGCUUGUUCAUUCUCAAGAAGUAAAGCCUUGCAAAUCAUCAAAAGGAUGUGCAAAGAAGUGCCAGUCUGAAAAAUAAAUUAAUAUUAAUACAGUAAAAAAAAGAAAGAAACAGGUUUCCAUAUCACCAAUAUUGGAGAACAUGAUGAAGAAAGAAGGAUGACAAACCCAAUUAAGCAUCUUGUUGAACAAAGAGACAUGGUUAUUGUGCCACCACAAAAAUACCAAACAUCUGAGCACCCUGGCUGAUUUGAGGAACUUGCUUUUCUUCCAACUUUGCCUUCUGCGUUGCUUUACUUCUGCCAUCUUAGAAAUGUUUAAACCAGAGCUAUCCCGAGUUCCUGAAAGUGUCCAAUCCAGAACAAAACCACUUCUUUAAAUUUUCCUUCUGAAUCAACUACAUCCAUGCUUUCAGACACCCUCUUGCUAAAACACUACACACCACCACAUAUGUGGUGUGUAGUCUCCUUUUUACUAAUUCCAGUAAUAAUUCGAACUCCUUCAACUCUCAGUAUGUUCCUGGUGAUCUAUGGCUGGUUGAUAGCACAUUGAGUGGACCAAAUAAGUAUUUGUCACCUUUUUUUUUUUUUCAUCCCAGUCCAUUUUUAACUAAAAUGAUGUGCUUUAAUAUGGCAUGCUUCAAACUCCUUAACAAGAAAAGGAAAUCAGGAUAGAGCAAACAGAGCAUAUGAUUAACAUUCAGAGGCUAAGGCUCUCGUCAGCUCUAUCCUAUUAAUAACACAAGUGACCCUGGGCAAGCCAUUAAAGGAAAGAAGAGAAACUGACCUCACAACAUCCAGUGAACCUGCCAGCAUUAAUAUGCUUGAGAGAUGACAAAACUAAAGCUCCAAACAAUUAAGUAUUUUAUUCUUCUAUUUACAUUUGUGAGCGGGAAAAUCAAGAUUCAAACCCAGGUAUGUAAGUCUAAAUUUGAAAACCUUUUCAUUUCACUGAGGUGCCUCAUGAAGUCUGAAUUCCUUCCCUAUGAACUGACUAGGUUGUUGCACUAGGACUUAAAAGGCCCUUUCCAUUCAUUAUGCAAGGAUUCUGAAUGAUGAAUGAUAACAUUUAUAUUUACUCUUUUUAGCACCACCUGAUCUGUAGAUGAAAGGUGCAAGAAUAAUGUGAGGUGAUAUAUGUUUAUGGAAUUUUGAAUUUCAGCAAGCCCUUUUCUAAACAGCAUAAAUCAUGGAUUUGAUCUACCACUUGAACUUCCAUGCGAAAUCAAUUUUCGGUUCCUUAUGAUUUAAAAAUAUGAGCACCUCACUUAAAGAAUUGUGUGAGAAGCUGUACAAAGAGGAGCUGGGAAAAGGGAAGACUCACCUUGAUUUUUAUCCAAGGAAGUAACCUCAUUUUCUAUACUUAAACCUUAACAUUUGCACAGUCACGUGGAACGUCUUCACCAGGAAGUGACAGACAAUACAGGAAAACAUGAUCAAUCACAUGAUUAAGAAAAAUAAAAGUUGUAUGUGUUUUAUCAAUUAAGUAAAUAGUCUUAAAGGAAAGGAUAGCAGUGUUGAGAAGCUGGAAAAACAGGCACUGAGUUACUAGAGGAUGGAAUGGCAUUUUGUAACUUUCCUUUUGGAUAGCAAUUUGCAAUUGGCAGCAAACACUUCUAAGAUUUUUGCAUAUCACAUUUGACCUACAAUUUCAUUCAAAAAACAAUUAUAGAUGUGUACAAAGAUUUUUGUCACAAAAAAUGUUUGUAGAAAUAUUAUUUAUAAUUGGCAAAAAUCAAUACAAAGCUAAAAGGUUUAUAAUAGAAGAUUAGUUAAAUUAUAGUUUAUUCAUGUAAUGGAAACUUGUGUGGGUAUUC